CCUACGGGUGGCAGCAGUGAGGAAUAUUGGUCAAUGGGCGCGAGCCUGAACCAGCCAAGUCGCGUGAAGGAUGACUGCCCUCCGGGUUGUAAACUUCUUUUAUAAAGGAAUAAAGUGAGGCACGCGUACCUUUUUGUCUGUACUUUAUGAAUAAGGAUCGGCUAACUCCGUGCCAGCAGCCGCGGUAAUACGGAGGAUACGAGCGUUAUCCGGAUUUAUUGGGUUUAAAGGGAGCGCAGAUGGGUUGUUAAGUCAGCUGUGAAAGUUUGCGGCUCAACCGGAAAACUGCAAUUGAUACUGGCAGUCUUGAGUACAGUAGAGGUAGGCGGAAUUCGUGGUGUAGCGGUGAAAUGCUUAGAUAUCACGAAGAACUCCGAUUGCGAAGGCAGCUUACUAAACUGCCACUGACACUGAGGCUCGAAAGUGUGGGUAUCAAACAGGAUUAGAUACCCCUGUAGUC
rnacentral:rRNA from 1 species